rnacentral:rRNA from 1 species
UGCCAGCAGCCGCGGUAAUACGGAGAGGGCAAGCGUUGUUCGGAAUCACUGGGCAUAAAGCGCACGCAGGCGGAUGAAUUAGUCAGAGGUGAAAGCCCCGAGCUCAACUUGGGAACUGCCUUUGAUACUGUUUAUCUAGAGUCCGAGAGAGGUUAGUGGAAUUCCCAGUGUAGAGGUGAAAUUCGUAGAUAUUGGGAAGAACACCAGUGGCGAAGGCGGCUAACUGGCUCGGUACUGACGCUGAGAUGCGAAAGCGUGGGGAGCGAACAGGAUUAGAUA